AGCGAACGCUGGCGGCAGGCCUAACACAUGCAAGUCGAACGGAUCCUUCGGGAUUAGUGGCGGACGGGUGAGUAACACGAGGGAACGUGCCCUUUGGUUCGGAACAACUUAGGGAAACUUGAGCUAAUACCGGAUGUGCCCUUCGGGGGAAAGAUUUAUCGCCAUUGUAGCGGCCCGCGUCUGAUUAGCUAGUUGGUGAGGUAAAGGCUCACUUAGGCGACGAUAAGUAGCUGGUCUGAGAGGAUGAUCAGCCACAUUGGGACUGAGACACGGCCCAAACUCCUACGGGAGUCAGCAGUGGGGAAUCUUGCGCAAUGGGCGAAAGCCUGACGCAGCCAUGCCGCGUGAAUGAUGAAGGUCUUAGGAUUGUAAAAUUCUUUCACCGGGGACGAUAAUGACGGUACCCGGAGAAGAAGCCCCGGCUAACUUCGUGCCAGCAGCCGCCGUAACAC
rnacentral:rRNA from 1 species